rnacentral:lncRNA from 1 species
CGACGUGGGGUUUAGGGGCGACGUGGGGUUUUAGGGGCGACGUGGGGUUUAGGGGUGACGUGGGGUUUUAGGGGCGACGUGGGGUUUAGGGGUGACGUGGGGUUUUAGGGGUGACGUGGGGUUUUAGGGGCGACGUGGGGUUUAGGGGUGACGUGGGGUUUUAGGGGCGACGUGGGGUUUAGGGGUGACGUGGGGUUUUAGGGGCGACGUGGGGUUUUAGGGGCGACGUGGGGUUUAGGGGCGACGUGGGGUUUUAGGGGCGACGUGGGGUUUUAGGGGCGACGUGGGGUUUUAGGGGCGAUGUGGGGUUUAGGGGCGAUGUGGGGUAGAACGACACUACUGCUCUGUGUUAAGGCUUAGAUAUGGGGAGGCUGUGUUUUACAGCUAGGUGAACAGUAGAGAGAGGGGGGGGCUGUUCUUUACAGCUAGGUGAACAGUAGAGAGAGGGGGGGGCUGUUCUUUACAGCUAGGUGAACAGUAGAGAGAGAGGGGGCUGUUCUUUACAGCUAGGUGAACAGUAGAGAGAGAGGGAGGGGCUGUUCUUUACAGCUAGGUGAACAGUAGAGAGAGAGGGGGCUGUUCUUUACAGCUAGGUGAACAGUAGAGAGAGAGGGGGGCUGUUCUUUACAGCUAGGUGAACAGUAGAGAGAGAGGGGGGGGCUGUUCUUUACAGCUAGGUGAACAGUAGAGAGAGAGGGGGCUGUUCUUUACAGCUAGGUGAACAGUAGAGAGAGAGGGGGG